rnacentral:tRNA from 1 species
GGGAUCAUAACUCAGCGGCUAGAGUGCUUGCAUCACACGCAAGAAGUCGGGGGUUCAAAUCCCUCUGAUCCCACCA